AGGGAUGUAGCCAAGCGGUUACGGCACGGGGUUUUGAUUCCCGCAUGCGCAGGUUCGAGUCCUGCCAUCCCUG
rnacentral:tRNA from 2 species